AAAAAAAAAAAACCAAAAACAAAACCAGAAAAAAAAAUCAAGCGGAAAAGAAAGUGAAAUACGUCGCACAGCUUUCUUACUCGGAAAGGAGACGGGGAAAUGUAAUGGACAGAGAUGAUCGUGCUGAUCGCAUUCAGACCAAAGCUGUGGUAAACCUCUAGCAGCGCGUUAAGCUGCUUCGCGUUUGUGCUGGAGGAAAAGAUGCUCUGUAGAAACAAUACGCGCAGCUCAACCCCAGCUAAAACAACUUAUCCCAAGGAAAUUCAGGUUAGAGAACAAUGCAAUGAAUGUAGUUCUGUGCAGACGUGCGUUUUAUAUAUGUGUUUGUGUAUGUCUGUGUACGAGGGAGGGAGGAAAAGCGAGUAUGGGAAAGAGAGAGUAAAUAACGAGGACAAGUAAAAUGGACCGGUUAUAAACAAUUGCAAUUGGGGAUGGCAUGAACUCUGGGCAUUGGAUUAACCUCGAAUGACCUUACCACAAUUGUAUUUAUUUAACCAAUUUCAUAACAGGUUGCUACUGACACACACACACAAGUUAAUGAUCAACAACCACUCUUUUUUCCUUUGUUUGUUGUUUAGUUUUAGAUUUUUGGGGUUUUUUUAGAAAUGCAGGUUGUUUGUUUUGUUGCUUUUUGUUUUUUUUUUUUUAAAUCAUGACGAUUUAUAAUUAUUUCGUUUCUCAUCACUGAAGUCAAUGUAUGGGAUUUCUUGACGAAGAGUGCAAUGAGGAGGAUAUUAUAUGACUCUACCAUGGCAAGGGGUAAGAGGAAAGGUAAGCUUCCUGCAUAUUAUUAUGAUUAUGAUGAUCAUUAACUAAUAUGUGUCAUUAUGGUGCACUAGGAUCCCAUUAGGGUGGCUGGGCCCAGUGCGUUUUCCUACUCGGUCUAGCAUGUAAUGAUUCGGUGUAACCAGAUUCUUGAGAAAGGACAGGUUACGUAAACAUUUACUGAUGUGGAGUAACUAUACUAUUUGUACUCUGAUAUGCAGGAAGGAAAGUGUUGAUUAACACAGAAGAAAAAAAAAGCGAAAUUAGCUGAUUGCAUGCUCAUAAGUGCAAGCUGUCAUUGAACUGCUUUUAAAAUAGACACAGCUGGGUGUUUGUGUUGAAAAAUUUCUUGUGUUUUUGCUAAUACUGAAAUAAGCAUGAUUUUGUAUACCAAACAUUUUCAGAUCAUUAAAAUUUGUAAUCUGUGCUGGUUUUAAACACAAAGAAAAGAAACAGAUUCAUUUCGUUGUAAAAUUUGCUGAUAUUAUAUUAACUCAAUCAGGUCUGUACAAAUGGUGUAUUGUGCCUUAUCAAAUCUCUUUGAUCCAUUUAAUACACAAAGUGCCAAACGUGUGUAUUGUUUGUUAACAUUGAACGUUUUAUUCAAAUCCCAGCUCUGUAGCAAACUGGAGGAGUUCUUGUUUAAUGUAACACUGACAUUGCCUGUUGAAAUUUUAAUGCCUUGAGGUGUUUCUUAGGUCAAAGCUGAGUUUACUUUGUGUUGUGCUCAGGGAUGAAAAUGUAGCAGGGAAGAAAAUAGAAGUUUUAUCUUUUUUGCAUUUCUGAGCAAAAGGCUAACACCGCAAGAAGCACACUUGAAAAACAUUUGAUGAUCUAGAUUUAACAUUUGGUCAUUUGUCACGGGUGCGGAAUAAAACUCUGUGCACAAACUUAGGAUUUAUAUAUAUAUAUAUAUAUAUAUAUAUAUAUAAUUUUUUUUUUAAUGCUGUGGAUAUACAGUUCUACCAAAAAAGGAAAUGUUUUGUCCAAUAUGUAGUACAUAUCUUUCUGCGUCCACGAAGAUUAAUUCAUUGUUUACGGGAGAGAAAAAGAUAUGUGAGAAAAGCCUCAUCAAUUAUAAUUUCUGCUGGACUUAAACUUUCGAGUAUUUUUUCUUUUUUUUUUCUUUUUUUUUUUUCUUUUUUUUUUUUCCCCCUUCGGCAGAAAAGGCACCGUUUAUAUAACUAUUUACUUUGGAAAUGCGGGAGUCUUACUCUAACGCCAGUUCCUUCCUGAGCUCUGCCCCAAACACGACUCCACUUCAGUGGUACCUUUGUGCAUCGGGGCACUGCAUGAGCGGCAGGUUUGACCGCUCAACUGGCUAAACCCGAAUUCUCUUAAGACAGUCCCUCAUGGCAGCAUUUUCUAACAGGGAAGGUUUUGUGGAGUGUUUGGAAUAGAAGCUUGUGCGUGGAACGGAGGCGCACAGUCCCAGCCCUGUGAAAUAUGGGUGGGUGUGCAGAGGGGAGCCGGCUCUCUGCAAAGUGUGAAUGAUGCCUCACCUGCACGUUCGUCGACGCUGCGGAUUCUCCGAACCGAGCGGUGGGGAUGGACUGAGAGUAUCCGGCUCCGGGGUCAGGAUGGGGCUGAAUAGCUGAGCUGAAACGUCCUGGCUGAAGUGCCAUUCAACAGAGAUCUCCGUGCAGCUCUUGGGUAUAACUCGUAGGGAUAGUGUUUCAACCACACACUUUUCUGCCCCCAUCCUCCCCCCUACCUUUUUUUUUUUUUUUUAAUUUUUAUUUCUUUUUUUAAAUUAAGGGUCAAAAGAAGAAAAGACCCUCUCCAAUGUACACUUAAUGCAUAUAGCAUACUUCCCUUGCACCACCCCCCGCCCCAGCUUCAGCCCUCAAUCCCCCUUCACACGGGUAUAGUGGCUCUAUACUCUCGGGCUCUUUCAAGACGGUUAAGCUGCUAAAAUGUACUGACAGCUUAAGAAAUGAAUGAGAUUUUUUUUUCAGCCAUGAAGAAAGGGUAUUUAGUAACCACGCUUCGAUGGCAUCAUGCUUCCAUGAAACGAGUCCGGACACUUUGGUUUAACAGUCAGUAAUAUCACAUUCGGUAUAGUAAAUGCCUCCAUGUACGCUUAUAUAAUUCUAUUCCCCCUUGACUGUAAGCUUGCCUUACUUAUUCCAGGUUACCUGGCAAUUAAGGUAAAGACUGCUCAGCAGAUACUGAUACCCUGCUGCUAAGGCAUGGCGAAUGGGGACGGAGCAGAGCGCUGACAAAGAGAAAGAGGUAGUCAAACAUUUUGAAGAGGGGUGAAUGGGACUGAAGGUGGAUGGAUGAAUGGAGGCAGAGAGGGAGAGGAAGAAGCAUUCAAUGGUCCAGACUUCUGUCUGAAUUUGUAGCUUUAAGUUUAGGUGUCCGCGUCUAGCCAGCUUCCAGUUAAUCCUCAACAGCUUCUAGUGAUUAGAAGUUAGUCUAUUUAGCAUGCUAUAUCCUUCUUCCUUGGGUUUUCGUUACAAGUUAUACGAUUAGGAUUGCGAGAACAGUAGUGAACUAAACUUCCCAGUAAGAGGUCUUCACACCAGGGAAGUGUUACUUUGCUGCAGCAGCCCUGCCUCGUCAGUCAUUAGGAAGCUGCAGGUUGUCAGAGGCUUCUCUUGCGCGCACACAAGCGCAGACACACACGCGCACACACACAAAACCACAGCACUAAAACUAAAUUAAGAAGCCGAUGAUUAAGACAAGCGUCUACGAGGCCUGUCAUUUCAGCAUCCUUCCAUCAUAACAUUGUGGCACCGAGAAAUUUGCUUGAAAACCCUGGAAAAAAAAAUGUCUAUGGGAGAGCCUCGUAUUUGAGGCUGUUAAUAUCAAAUAUAGACUGGGAACUGCCUCGGAUGCAAGAUAGUAUUCCGCAGAGGAAUGGAGCGCUGCAGAGACCUUGGUGCUAUCCGCGCACUCCUGAAACUCUGUUAAAACGUUCUAGGCCGAUGCUUUUGUCGGCGUUGCGAUACUGAAGCAAAGAAUGUGAAAUAAAUUACGGAGGACCUGGGGAGAAAAAAAGAAAAACAACAAAACAAACCCAAGUAGUGCUUGAAGAAGACCUCUAGCUGCUCUUUGACUCCUAAGAAACUGUUGCUGGGAUAUUUUCAUGGUGUUGUUCUAAAGCUCUUCAGCCUCCUAUAAACGUAAUCUUUGGCAAAUGACA